rnacentral:rRNA from 1 species
UACGUAGGGUGCGAGCGUUAAUCGGAAUUACUGGGCGUAAAGCGUGCGCAGGCGGUCUGUUAAGACAGAUGUGAAAUCCCCGGGCUUAACCUGGGAACUGCAUUUGUGACUGGCAGGCUAGAGUAUGGCAGAGGGGGGUAGAAUUCCACGUGUAGCAGUGAAAUGCGUAGAGAUGUGGAGGAAUACCGAUGCGAAGGCAGCCUCCUGGGCCAACACUGACGCUCAUGCACGAAAGCGUGGGGAGCAAACAGG